rnacentral:rRNA from 1 species
GACGAACGCUGGCGGCGCGCCUAACACAUGCAAGUCGAACGGAGUCAAGAGGAGCUUGCUUUUCUUGACUUAGUGGCGAACGGGUGAGUAACGCGUGAGUAACCUGCCCUGGAGUGGGGGACAACAGUUGGAAACGACUGCUAAUACCGCAUAAGCCCACGGAUCCGCAUGGAUCUGCGGGAAAAGGAUUUAUUCGCUUCAGGAUGGACUCGCGUCCAAUUAGCUAGUUGGUGAGGUAACGGCCCACCAAGGCGACGAUUGGUAGCCGGACUGAGAGGUUGAACUGCCACAUUGGGACUGAGACACGGCCCAGACUCCUACGGGAGGCAGCAGUGGGGGAUAUUGCACAAUGGGGGAAACCCUGAUGCAGCGACGCCGCGUGGAGGAAGAAGGUUUUCGGAUUGUAAACUCCUGUCGUUAGGGACGAUAAUGACGGUACCUAACAAGAAAGCACCGGCUAACUACGUG